AAUUGGAGGGGGUGGGGGCUGUAGAGAUGGCUCAGCAGUGAAGAGCACUUUCUGUUCUUCCAGAGGACCCGAUAUCACUUUGCAGCAUCCACAUCAGGCAGUUCACAACUGCCUGUGACUCCAUCUUCAGGAUGAAGUGCCCUCUUACGGCCUCCUGAAUUCAUGUGGCAUACAUUCACAUAUACACAUAAAAAAAAAAUUUUGAAGAAUUUGAUUUUGCUUUUGUUUUUCAGAAAAAGCUUUUGCCAUGUAUCUCAGGUUGACCCAGAACUGAUAAUCUUCCUCCUUUUAGCUCUUGAAUGUUUAAUGAAAGGUAUCUGAAUCCACAUCCACCAUCAGUAGCUCAUUCUUUUUUUGUUUGUUUUUUGAGACAGUGUCUCCCUGUAGCCCUGGCUGGUCUGGAACUCACUAGAUAAACCAGGCUGGCAUUGAUCUCACAGAGAUGUGCUCUGCUUCCUGGGUGCUGGGAUUAAAGGUGUGUGCCACCAUUUUCUGCAGUCAUUCUUAAGAGUAAAUCUCUGGACUGGUAUUUAUAAAUUUUUAGUCUACAAAAUAAGCAUAACCACAGAACAUAGGGUAGAGUAAUAGCUCAAACCCAUGAAUUGGUGCCAGUAUGGUCUACAUCUGAAGGAACAACAGCAAUUAAAUGUACACCAUCAUGAAUUAAUUUUGUAAGGUUUCUUAGCUGUACAACUUGCUGGAUGAUGUCUUUUUCUAUUAAAUCAAGCAGUUAUUUCUCCUUUCAUUGUAAAUUGUGUUAGGUUCACUGGUAUUUAUUUGUAAUGUAUGAGUAUACAUAAAUAUCUUUUAAAUAUUUUGUUACUGAUGUGUGUGUUUGUAUGUGUAUGCAUCUGCCCAUGGAGAUCAGAAGGUUCUCUCCUAUCCCUUGGAACUGGGUUACAGGUAUUUAUGACUUGCUUUACAUGGGUUCUGCCUUACAUGGGAUCUGGAAUCCAAACCCUCAUACUCCUGACAGAGCAGUGAGCGCUCUUAACCAUGCAAACAUUUUUCCAACCCCUGUAUAAACAUCUUGUUUUAAAUCAAUUGUGUUUAAUGGGCAUGGUGGUGCUCCCUUUUAAAUCAGCACUCUAAGGAAGAGGCUGUUGAUCUGAGUUUAAGGCUAGCCUGGUGUACAAAGCAAGUUUCAGGCCAGCCAGAGCUACAUAGACCCUGUCACACAGAAAAGUCAAUAAAUAAAUAAAUUAAUAAUAAAUAAAAGCUAAUUAUUUGACAAGGAAGGAUUUUGCAAACUUCUAUUUCCAUGUGGACAUGUGCAUGCAAAGGAUGAUUCUGAUGUGAGCUCUCCCCAUUCUGCUCAGCUUCUAGUGUCCCCUCUCUUUCCCAUGUGAUGACUGUCACCAAGAUGUCACAGAGGUGUGUGGGGAUUUACAUAUUCUGUCUACAUUUUCCCACAUACUGAUGUAGUUGUUUGUUCCUUUGAAAUGUAAUUUUUGUUUGGUUUGGUCUCUUGAGACAAUGUCUCAUAUACCUCAAGCUGGUUUCAAACUUACCAUGUAACUUUGUCUCUCCUGGAUCUCUGCCUCCACCUCUCCAGUGCUAUGGUGAACCACCAUGCCUAGCCAAUUUUGAUUGUUAGAAUACAUCAAGGAGAAAAAAAAAAUACAAAAUAGACAAUACAAAAUCAAUUUAAAAUUGGUUUAGGGUGAGGACAUGGUUCUGUGGAUAAGACACUUGCUGUGUAAACAUGAGGACUUAUAUUUCAUUCUCCACUACAUACAUAAGAAGCUGGGAAUGGCUGAGUUUACCUGUACACACCUCUCCACCCUACCAGGAAGGAGAUACUUUGGUCAGUAGGAAACGACCGUGGAUUGCUGGCCAAUCAUGGCCGUUGUGUUGGUGUAAACUGCCCAAUGACAAGUGUCGGCUUUAGGAGCGGAAGCCUGCUUGCUCAGCACUUUCCAGCCUGCCACAUCCAGGGAUCUAUGUUUUCUGCGGAGAGACUUCAGGUUUCUCCGUUGGUCUCUGCAUCACUCAGGUUUCUUCAUUGGUCUCUGCGUCCCUCCACGGACUGCGGAGCCACAGGAGCCCAGGACUCCGUCGCUGGAAAUGAUUGGUCAACUUAAACAAAGAAGAGCAAGUUCAUAGGAUAGAACAUUUCCAAGUUGAGAUAUAUGUACAUGGAAGCCACAUAAAGCUGUGAACUGGAAGAGAAACUGAGUGAAUGUAAAGAAGGUCAUCCAUGUGCAAAAAUUUUCAAUUGCUCUCCAGAGCAUAUUGUGAAUCAGAAAUCUUAUCCAGAAGUUCCUAUAUAUGAAAGUCAAAUGUGUGGAGAAGUAGGCAUUGGCCAUUUAUCUCUAAGUGUGCUACUUAAACUUCAUCCUGUACACAAACCAUAUGAAGAUCAGGAACAUGGAAAGAAGUUGUACAAACAUAAAGAAUUUGGAAACACCUUCUUUUCCUCCCCAUUCUUUCCAAUGCAUAAAAGGACUUACACUGGAGAGAUUCCUAAAAAUAAUCACUGUGGGAACAUAGAACAAGGGAUGAAGAGAACACUAAUGCAUCUUUCAAGUCUCAUCAGUGAAGCUCCCUCAUGAGGGUCAGGUGCACAAAAGAUCACAAAUGGCCAAACACACAGGGAAUAAGAGUUAACAGAGUGUGGGUCAUUGGACAAGACUCCUAUAUUGAGGUCUCAGGGACCGUUGUGGAAAAGGGGGUGGAAAGAUCGUAAGAGGCAGGGAGGAGGUGCAUGGCCAUACAGAAAUAGUCCUUCAGGUGCUUGGGACCCUUCUCACACAAACCUACAGCAAUGGUAUCAGCAUGCAGAAGACCUAUGCAAACUUAGGUAGACAAAAACCCAGCACAGAACUGUGGAAAUGAACAGCAAGCCCCAACUGUAGU